GGUCAUGCUUUCACACAAGGGAUUAUUGCAGGCUUUUCCACAUGGCAAAUACUGUCUUGCUGAGAGGAGAGACCAUGAACAUUUCUUGGGAAUUACCCAUUAAGCAUGAACUUUAAAGAGGAUUUUGCAGCAUCCCCCUUAGUAAGGACCUAAUGAAUCUUUAUUAUGUGACAAGGAAACACCCCCAGUGAAGCAUUGGCCUGAGUUAAUAUUUUCUUCCUCUUACAAAGAAACAUCUGUUUUCUCUUCUGACUUUUGGAUUUUCACAUGCCGCUGGACAGCUGCUGGGACAGGUGUACAAACACAUCAGAACAAGAGUCAGUAAGCAACAUAUUGAUCUUCCAUACUGGACAAACAUGUUCACAUGCUUUGUUCAGCUAAAGCCAAAUUCAUUACAUCAGACCAAGAAACUCUGGUGCAAACAUAAAUAUGCACUCAAAAUUAGACAAAUGUUUUGUGAUUAAUUUAUGGUUGGGUAUGUCCAGCAAACUUAUGUUCUCCUUUAAAAUAAAUAGUUAUGGUCAUAGGUCAUAGAAGGAAAUAGAACACAACUUGAAAUUAUUGUCAAAGCUUAAAAUGUUCCUACAAGUCACCUUCUUUUGCCAUGUGUCUUUAUGGUUACUUAUGGUGUGUUCUUCCUACAUCUUAUGGGGAUAUAAUGAUACACAGUUAUUAUAGACUAUAUUAAUCUUUCCAUUUUUCAGGGGUCCAGUUUUAUAUUGUUCAUACUAGUUUAUGCAUUAUUUUGAUUUGGCCUUGAACACAUGCAGAUUCUGGACGGACCCUGCCCUUAUUUCCCCUUAUUUCUUGUUUUGUUGAGCAAUAUAAGUGCCGAUUCACAUGUGGAUAUUUUUUGUGGUUAUUUCUGUUUCAGUGUGAUGAGACAUCCUGUUAAGUGAUUGCUGUCACAAGUUAUGUUUAAUCAUAAUUGGAAGUUGCUUUGGAUAAAAGCAUCAGCUAAAUGUAGUUCCAUGCUGUAGUUGCAUUUUCUCCACCCCUCGUUUGA